CAUUUGUGCUAAAUUGCCCAGUGCUGGUGUGAUAACUGUCAAAAGUUUGACAUCAAAGGAACUAAUAUUAUUCAGUUACCAGAGAAGCUGUCUGUCUAAAUAAGAAUAUCUUAAUUACUGCAUCACAAAGAUUAGGCGGUGGAGUCCUCUCCGUCAAUGAAGGGACUAAGGUUUCGUGGACAAUAAUGUGGCAAUUGUUGAUGGUUUGUGACCCAUAAAAUGUGGAGGUGACUGUUCUGGCUUUGGGCCCCCAUCCCGCCUGGAUCGGUGCCCCCCCACACCCAGAACCACUCAGCAUCCGGCUCUGCAGCCUCGCCGCCCAGCACACAGUGACACUGCAGCGUGAGCCCCGCAGAAGCCGGCGAGAGGGGAUUUUUCAAGGGGGAAAUAAUGAUUAAAAGAGAGAAUCAUCUAAAUAUCAAAGUGACGCAUGGGAGACCUGGAAAAAAUAUUUAAUCUAAGGAAAAGCAAAUAAAGAAGGAGGCGCUUAGGCUGGGAAAUUAAAUAUUAUGUUUAAGAUGGUGCUUUUGUGCGGGCUUGAAUAUUUCCGAUUCAUGUACACAUAAUAAACACUCAGGUUUGUCAUCUGGAGGUGCAAAUCUGAAAGAUAUUCCAACAAAUGAAGUGCUGGCAGAGAGAGGAAUAAAGAGAUCGGCGCCUGUCAGGGGUCAGGCAGCCUGAGAUUGCUUCUAGAGAUCUUUUGAAAAUUUCACACGAUUGAAGGCUUAGGGGCUUCACUGCGCCCGCAUUUCAA